CCUGGCUCAGGACGAACGCUGGCGGCGUGCUUAACACAUGCAAGUCGAACGAUGAUGCUGGAGCUUGCUUCAGCGGAUUAGUGGAGAACGGGUGAGUAAGACGUGAGCAACGUGCCCAUGACUCUGGGAUAACGUCCGGAAACGGACGCUAAUACCGGAUACGAGACUCCGCCGCAUGGUGUGGGUCUGGAAAGACUUGUUUGGUCAUGGAUCGGCUCACGGCCUAUCAGCUUGUUGGUGGGGUAAUGGCUCACCAAGGCGACGACGGGUAGCCGGCCUGAGAGGGUGACCGGCCACACUGGGACUGAGACACGGCCCAGACUCCUACGGGAGGCAGCAGUGGGGAAUAUUCCACAAUGGGCGAAAGCCUGAUGCAGCAACGCCGCGUGGGGGAUGACGGCCUUCGGGUUGUAAACCCCUUUUGUCAGGGAAGAAGCCGUAAGGUGACGGUACCUGGAGAGAGAAGCACCGGCUAACUACGUGCCAGCAGCCGCGGUAAUACGUAGGGUGCAAGCGUUGUCCGGAAUUAUUGGGCGUAAAGAGCUCGUAGGCGGUUUGUCGCGUCUGCUGUGAAAGCCCGAGGCUCAACCUCGGGUCUGCAGUGGGUACGGGCAGACUAGAGUGCGGUAGGGGAGAUUGGAACUCCUGGUGUAGCGGUGGAAUGCGCAGAUAUCAGGAAGAACACCGAUGGCGAAGGCAGAUCUCUGGGCCGUUACUGACGCUGAGGAGCGAAAGCAUGGGGAGCGAACAGGAUUAGAUACCCUGGUAGUCCAUGCCGUAAACGUUGGGCGCUAGAUGUGGGGGACUUUCCACGUUCUCCGUGUCGUAGCUAACGCAUUAAGCGCCCCGC
rnacentral:rRNA from 1 species